AGAAGUGUAGCUCAAUGUUAGAACAUGUGCUUAUUUAGCAUGUGUAAGGCCCUGGGUUCAAUCCCCAGCACUGCAA
rnacentral:tRNA from 1 species